UAAAGUGGCGUACGGGUGAGUAACACGUGGAUUAUCUGCCCUAGAGUGGGGAAUAACGCUGGGAAACCGGCGCUAAUACCGCUAUUCCCGAGAGGGGAAAGCAGCAAUGCGCUCAAGGAGGAGUCCGCGGCCGAUUAGCUAGUUGGCAGGGUAAAAGCCUACCAAGGCUAUGAUCGGUAGCCGGCCUGAGAGGGCACACGGCCACACUGGCACUGAAACACGGGCCAG
rnacentral:rRNA from 1 species